CUCACGUCCAGCUCCACUGGCCGCGGUUGGUGCGGUUGCUUCAUUUUCUGUCUCCUCGACCCCUCCUCUCG
rnacentral:rRNA from 1 species